CCUACGGGAGGCAGCAGUGAGGAAUAUUGGUCAAUGGGCGCAAGCCUGAACCAGCCAUGUCGCGUGCGGGAAGACGGCCCUAUGAGUUGUAAACUGCUUUUGUACGAGGGUAAACGCAGACACGCGUAUCUGUCUGAAAGUAUCGUACGAAUAAGGAUCGGCUAACUCUGUGCCAGCAGCCGCGGUAAUACGGAGGAUUCAAGCGUUAUCCGGAUUUAUUGGGUUUAAAGGGUGCGUAGGCGGUCGGAUAAGUUAGAGGUGAAAUCCCGAGGCUCAACUUCUGAAUUGCCGCUGAUACUGGUCGGCUAGAGAGUAGUUGAGGUAGGCGGAAUGUAUGGUGUAGCGGUGAAAUGCUUAGAGAUCAUACAGAACACCGAUUGCGAAGGCAGCUUACCAAGCUACUACUGACGUUGAGGCACGAAAGUGUGGGGAGCAAACAGGAUUAGAUACCCUAGUAGUC
rnacentral:rRNA from 1 species